rnacentral:rRNA from 1 species
ACAAUGCGGAACUUUUAGUUUUGCAAUUGGAUUGAGAACAAUGUACAAAUGUUAUCGAUAAACAAUUGGAGGGCAAGUCUGGUGCCAGCAGCCGCGGUAAUUCCAGCUCCAAUAGCGUAUAUUAACGUUGUUGCAGUUAAAAAGCUCGUAGUUGAAAUGUGGGAUGAAGUAUAUAAUGAAUUUCUAAUUCAAUUGUAUAUUGAUUCCCCUCUCCAAUUUAUUAUUAUGGGUAUUAAUUUAUUUGUAAUAAGAAUUGGUCAUUUACUGUGAGAAAAUUAGAGUGUUCAAAGCAGGCAUUUGCUUGAAUAGAUUAGCAUGGAAUAAUACUAAAAGGCUUUUAUGGUCGAUUUAAUUGGUUUGUUCAUAAAAGCAAGAUUAAAAGGAACAGUUGGGGGUAUUCAUAUUCAAUAGUUAGAGGUGAAAUUCUCGGAUUUAUGGAAGAUGAACAAGUGCGAAAGCA